GAGAGCUUUUUCUGAGCCUUAUUCUCUGCUUUAGUUUUCUCGCUAUCUUCCCAUGCCUUGAUAAAGGAAUUUUUCUUUUCCUUUUCAACCUCUGCAAGAGCAGUGUCUCUGUCAUGGGAUCCCCCUGAAAUCUUCUUUGGAACAGAUUCUGGAUUCUUAUCGACUACAGCGAGAGCUAUGGAUUCUUCAGGUGGUGGAACAAUAACUUUCUCUUGUGACGCACCUUGUUUAACUUCCGCCGGUGCCGGAGUCGGUGUCGCCGGUGAUUUGGCUUCUAGCUUCUUCGAUUCCUGCUCUGCCAUUGACACAACUUUAGUGGAAAACUUGGCAGCGUUGCAAAAUUUGGCAAGGGCUCUUUAUAAGCGCCAGCUAAAGUGAAUCGCAUAAGCAGGGGUUACUUUAAAGGAUCC
rnacentral:misc_RNA from 1 species